CGUGUGGUUCUAUUUUGUUGGUUUCUAGGACCGCCGUAAUGAUUAAUAGGGACAGUCGGGGCAUCAGUAUUCAAUUGUCGGAGGUGAAAUUCUUGGAUUUAUUGAAGACUAACUACUGCGAAAGCAUUUGCCAAGGAUGUUAUCAUUAAUCAGGAACGAAAGUUAGGGGAUCGAAGACGAUCAGAUACCGUCGUAGUCUUAACCAUAAACUAUGCCGACUAGGGAUCGGACGGUGUUAUUUUUUGACCCGUUCGGCACCUUACGAGAGAUCAAAGUGCUUGGGCUCCAGGGGGAGUAUGGUCGCAAGGCUGAAACUUAAAGAAAUUGACGGAAGGGCACCACCAGGGGUGGAGCCUGCGGCUUAAUUUGGCUCAACACGGGGAAACUCACCAGGUCCAGACACAAUGAGGAUUGACAGAUUGAGAGCUCUUUCUUGAUUUUGUGGGUGGUGGUGCAUGGCCGUUCUUAGUUGGUGGAGUGAUUUGUCUGCUUAAUUGCGAUAACGAACGAGACCUUAACCUGCUAAAUAGCCCGUAUUGCUUUGGCAGUACGCUGGCUUCUUAGAGGGACUAUCGGCUCAAGCCGAUGGAAGUUUAAGGCAAUAACAGGUCUGUGAUGCCCUNAGAUGUUCUGGGCCGCACGCGCGCUACACUGACGGAGCCAGCGAGUACUUCCUUGUCCGAAAGGUCCGGGUAAUCUUGUUAAACUCCGUCGUGC
rnacentral:rRNA from 1 species